rnacentral:rRNA from 1 species
UGGGGAAUAUUGCACAAUGGGCGCAAGCCUGAUGCAGCGACGCCGCGUGGGGGAUGACGGCCUUCGGGUUGUAAACCUCUUUCAGCAGGGACGAAGCGAAAGUGACGGUACCUGCAGAAGAAGCACCGGCCAACUACGUGCCAGCAGCCGCGGUAAUACGUAGGGUGCGAGCGUUGUCCGGAAUUACUGGGCGUAAAGAGCUCGUAGGUGGUUUGUCGCGUUGUUCGUGAAAACCGGGGGGCUUUAACCCCUCGGCGUGCGGGCGAUACGGGCAGACUAGAGUACUGCAGGGGAGACUGGAAUUCCUGGUGUAGCGGUGGAAUGCGCAGAUAUCAGGAGGAACACCGGUGGCGAAGGCGGGUCUCUGGGCAGUAACUGACGCUGAGGAGCGAAAGCGUGGGGAGCGAACAGGAUUAGAUACCCUGGUAGUCCACGCCGUAAACGGUGGGUACUAGGUGUGGGUUUCCUUCCUUGGGAUCCGUGCCGUAGCUAACGCAUUAAGUACCCCGCCUGGGGAGUACGGCCGCAAGGCUAAAACUCAAAGGAAUUGACGGGGUCAUAGCUG